rnacentral:rRNA from 1 species
GCUGGCGGUAGGCCUAACACAUGCAAGUCGAACGGCAGCNNAGUAAGAGCUUGCNNNNAUGGGUGGCGAGUGGCGGACGGGUGAGGAAUACAUCGGAAUCUACUUUUUCGUGGGGGAUAACGUAGGGAAACUUACGCUAAUACCGCAUACGACCUACGGGUGAAAGCAGGGGAUCUUCGGACCUUGCGCGAUUGAAUGAGCCGAUGUCGGAUUAGCUAGUUGGCGGGGUAAAGGCCCACCAAGGCGACGAUCCGUAGCUGGUCUGAGAGGAUGAUCAGCCACACUGGAACUGAGACACGGUCCAGACUCCUACGGGAGGCAGCAGUGGGGAAUAUUGGACAAUGGGCGCAAGCCUGAUCCAGCCAUACCGCGUGGGUGAAGAAGGCCUUCGGGUUGUAA